CUCCCUCUUUCUCUCUCUCUCUAGUUUUUCUAUUCACGAUGAAAAAGAUAUUUGGACUUUUCCUCACAGAAUAUUUCCUCAAACCAUUUUCAGGCGAAAGAACUCUGGUUAGGAUGUUGCUUUUCCUCCUUUGCCUACAGUCAGGGCAGAGAGAUGGCAGGGUCGGGGAGCCAUUCGUUAGGAAGAAAUAAUAAGGAAAAUGAAAGAGAAAUUAUAUACCUAGUACUAUGAGGCUAUUUAAAAGGAGAUGGAAAGCUGACCCUUACAGUAAGUUUCCAAGGGAAAUUUACCACAGGUCUCCUUAAAAAGAAUGAAUAAAAGGUCUUCAGACAAGGUUCCUCGGUUUAGGACGGUUCACUCGCCUGACUGUCGGGAUUGGGUUAAUAUUCGAUGUUGUGGUUUGGAUUCGUCAAAGAAGAGAGAGUAAAGACAAUUCUUGCAAAUCCUCUAAAGGUGUGAUUCCCGAAGGUGAUCUGGACCAGGAAUCCCCCUGUACUUCCUGGAAACGGUAGUCUAGGCUGUGCUCUAACCCAGGUGGAUCUUUUUCAGAGACUUCACCUGCCGACUUCUGGGAGCGCCCCAUCCGGCAAGCAUCCACGGAGCUGCGGUCUCAGCCGUCAGCGGAAGCCGACCCACGGGAGCGUGAGGAGGGCCAGAUGAAUAGAUGCUGACAGCAGCAGUAGGGGACGGCAGGCUGAAUUCCAAACCUCCAGUUGGCUCGGCUUCUCCCAAACUAUCGGAGGAAUGAAGGCUGCAGUGAGAGAAGACCUUCGCUCCGGAUCAUGCGGCAAGAGAUGGACCAAGGUUUGGCCUCUCUUCAGAAACCGGCAGUGCCCCCUCCAGCCGAGGGUCCCGGUGAUGAGGAGAAGCACCAGAGCAGCAAGGAGGAGGCUUGACUGUCCCGACCACCCCGAUACCCACCAAAGCGGAACCUGAACCAAGCCGGCCAGGGAGAUCAGGGCAGCCGCCGUGACUAGCAGAAUGAUCCCUCCUGGAGGGAGUCUGUACUGACAGCUACACCAACGAGGGAGGGGAUGAGGAAGACGUGAUCAGGGGUCAAGCUGACAAGUGGAUACUGGCACAACCUGAAAGAAGAUGGGAGUUGACCUGUCCAUCGGGAAAAAAUAAGUAUCUAAUCAUAGACUAACCAAGACACACUUGGAAACGGUCAUUUACUGCUCGUGUCAAAUGAUUUUAACUCUGUUAGGUCUCCGUCUCUCUCUCUCUCCCUCUCUCUCUCUCUCUCUCUCUCUCUCUCAUUUUUUUAUUCAAGAUGAAAAAGAUAUUUGGACUUUUCCUCACAGAAUAUUUCCCCAUUCCAUUUUCAGGCGAAAGAACUCUGGUUAGGAUGUUGCUUUUCCUCCUUAAAAUUCAGUCAGGGGAGAGAGACGGCAGGGUCGGGGAGCCUUUCAUUAGGAAGAAAUAAUAAGGAAAAUGAAAGAGAGAUUAAAUACCUAGUACUGUGAGGCUAUUUAAAAGGAGAUGAAAAAACUGACCCUUACUGUAAAUUUCCAAGGGAAAUUUACCACAGGUCUCCUAAAAAAAGAGUGAAUAAAAAGUCUUCAGACAAUGCUUCCCAGUUUAGGACAGUUCACUCGCCUGACCAUUGGGAUUGGGUUAAUAUUCCAUGUUGAGGUUUGGAUUCGUCAAAGAAGAGAGAGCAAAGAAAAUUCUUGCAGAUCCUCUAAAGGUGUGAUUCCGAAGGUGAUCUGCACAAGGAAUCCUCCUGUACUUUCUGGAAAUGGUGGUCUAGACUGUGCUCUAACCCAGGUGGAUCUUUUUCAGAGACUUCACCUGCCAACUUCUGGGAGCGCCCCAUCCACCAAGCAUCCACACAGCUGCAGAGCUGCGGUCUCAGACGUCAGCGGAAGCCUACCCACGGGAGCGUGAGGAGGGCCAGAUGAAUAGAUGCUGGCAGCAGCAGCAGCAGGGGACGGCAGGCUGAAUUCCAAACCAACAGUUGUCUCGGCUUCUCCCAGACUAUUGGAGGAAUGAAGACUGCAGUGAGAGAAGACCUUCGCUCCAGAUCAUGCGGCAAGAGAUGGAUAAAGGGAAAACCC